rnacentral:rRNA from 1 species
AUUGAACGCUGGCGACAGGCCUAACACAUGCAAGUCGAGCGGAGCGGCGGACGGGUGAGUAAUGCCUAGGAAUCUGCCUGGUAGUGGGGGAUAACGUCCGGAAACGGGCGCUAAUACCGCAUACUAUCAGAUGAGCCUAGGUCGGAUUAGCUAGUUGGUGGGGUAAAGGCCUACCAAGGCGACGAGCCGUAACUGGUAGGAGGGGAUGAUCAGUCAAACUGGAACUGGGAAACGGUCCAGACUCCUACGGGAGGCAGCAGUGGGGAAUAUUGCACAAUGGGCGCAAGCCGGAUGCAGCCAUGCCGCGUGUGUGAAGAAGGCCUUCGGGUUGUAAAGCACUUUCAGCGGGGAGGCGUUACCCGCAGAAGAAGCACCGGCUAACUCCGUGCCAGCAGCCGCGGUAAUUC